rnacentral:rRNA from 1 species
GAAGCGGCAACAGCUCAAAUUUGAAAUCUGGCCUCGGCCCGAGUUGUAAUUUGCAGAGGAUGCUUUUGGUGCGGUGCCUUCCGAGUUCCCUGGAACGGGACGCCACAGAGGGUGAGAGCCCCGUAUGGUCGGACACCAAUCCUGUGUAAAGCUCCUUCGACGAGUCGAGUAGUUUGGGAAUGCUGCUCUAAAUGGGAGGUAAAUCUCUUCUAAAGCUAAAUACCGGCCAGAGACCGAUAGCGCACAAGUAGAGUGAUCGAAAGAUGAAAAGCACCUUGAAAAGGGGGUUAAACAGUACGUGAAAUUGUUGAAAGGGAAGCACUUGUGACCAGACUUGGGCCGGGCGGCUCAUCAGGGGUUCUCCCCUGUGCAUUCCGCCCGGUACAGGCCAGCAUCGGUUCUUACCGGGGGAUAAGAACGGCAGGAACGUGGCUCCCUCUCGGGGGAGUGUUAUAGCCUGCCGUACGAUACCCUGGCGGGGACCGAGGUUCGCGCUUCCGCAAGGAUGCUGGCGUAAUGGUUACUAGUGACCCGUCUUGAAACACGGACCAAGGAGUCGUCCAUUAGAGCGAGCGUUUGGGUGUAAAACCCGCACGCGUAAUGAAAGUGAAAUUAGGUGAGAGCUUCGGCGCAUCAUCGACCGAUCCUGAUGUUCUCGGAUGGAUUUGAGUAAGAGUUUUAACGGACGGACCCGAAAGACAGUGAACUAUGCUUGUAUAGGGUGAAGCCAGAGGAAACUC